rnacentral:rRNA from 1 species
GAUGAACGCUGGCGGCGUGCCUAAUACAUGCAAGUCGAGCGAACGGACGAGAAGCUUGCUUCUCUGAUGUUAGCGGCGGACGGGUGAGUAACACGUGGAUAACCUACCUAUAAGACUGGGAUAACUUCGGGAAACCGUAGCUAAUACCGGAUAAUAUUUUGAACCGCAUGGUUCAAAAGUGAAAGACGGUCUUCCUGUCACUUAUAGAUGGAUCCGCGCUGCAUUAGCUAGUUGGUAAGGUAACGGCUUACCAAGGCAACGAUGCAUAGCCGACCUGAGAGGGUGAUCGGCCACACUGGAACUGAGACACGGUCCAGACUCCUACGGGAGGCAGCAGUAGGGAAUCUUCCGCAAUGGGCGAAAGCCUGACGGAGCAACGCCGCGUGAGUGAUGAAGGUCUUCGGAUCGUAAAACUCUGUUAUUAGGGAAGAACAUAUGUGUAAGUAACUGUGCACAUCUUGACGGUACCUAAUCAGAAAGCCACGGCUAACUACGUG